rnacentral:tRNA from 1 species
CGGGGUGUGGCGCAGCUUGGUAGCGCGCCUGGAUGGGGGCCAGGAGGUCAGCGGUUCAAAUCCGCUCACCCCGACCA